ACCCGUGGUGGUAUCCUCCUACUGCAGGAUGAUGAAGCGGUUCAACUCUCCAUUGUGCUAUUUGGGUCUUUUACCCUCUUGACCAUUGUUUCCUUGCGUUCACAGAACCAUAACACCACCUCCUUCAAGCUCACGACCAUCUAUGGUCUGACUAGAGGCAACCUCAAGGAUGCUUUCUUCGUCGAGCUCGUCUCCGAAAUACCACCACUGGGUUCCUUAUCGCUGGUCACGGGAGACUUCAACCAAAUUUACCGGGCAAGGGAUAAGAACCGCACUAACGUUGAUCAAAGCCGCAUUGUCCAGUUUAGGAAUGCGCUGAACACCUGUGAGCUAAAAGAGAUUAAUCUUCAAAACAGAAGAUUCACUUGGAGCAAUGGCCAGAGUGACCCCAUCUUGAGCAAGCUGGAUGGCUUCUUUCGCAACGAGGAUGAUCUGGAGUUUGGUUCUCACAUUCUGCAUGCACUCUCAUCUUCCCUAUGUGAUCAUUGUCCUCUUCUAUUCACAAAUGCAAAUGGCCCUAAGCGUUCCAAGUGCUUCUACUUCGAGAACUUCUGUAUUAAGAUGCCCAGUUUUUUGGCAACCAUCAAGGAGGCAUGGAAUGAAGAUCACAACCAUGUCGCGCCCUACCAUGUUAUUCACCAUAGACUCAGGAAAACUAGCAUCAAGUUAAAGGCUUUGAGCAAAACUCUUUUCUCCAAUGUGAAAAUUCAGUUGCAUAUGGCUCGGGAGAUCAUCCUCCGCCUUGAUACCGCUCAAGAAUCUCGAUCCCUGAGCCCAGAGGAACUUGACCUUCGGAAGAGGCUUAAGCGGCGAGUAGUUGCCUUGGCUGUACUUGAGAAGGCUAGGAAGCGGCAGAACUCUAGGAUCACUAACAUCACAGAGGUGGAUGCAAACACUAGAUUCUUCUACGUGACAAUUAACUGCCAGAGAAGGAAAAAAAUGCCAUCGUCUGAAGCACAAUGCGGGUUGGGUGAAUGA
rnacentral:rRNA from 1 species